rnacentral:rRNA from 1 species
UACCCGCAGCACAAGUGGUGGUCAUUAUUAUUGGGCCUAAAGCGUCCGUAGCUGGCUUGUUAGAUGCCUGGGUAAAUCGAUGCGCUCAACGUAUCGACUUCCGGGUAGACCGGCAAGCUCGAGACCGGGAGAGGUGUAGGCUACUCGAGGGGUAGGGGUAAAAUCCUGUAAUCCUUCGGGGACGACCAGUGGCGAAGGCGCUACACUAGAACGGCUCUGACAGUGAGGGACGAAGCCCUGGGGCGCAAACCGG